rnacentral:rRNA from 1 species
GUACACUCCUGCGGGAGGCAGCAGUGGGGAAUAUUGGACAAUGGGCGCAAGCCUGAUCCAGCCAUGCCGCGUGAGUGAUGAAGGCCCUAGGGUUGUAAAGCUCUUUCACCGGUGAAGAUAAUGACGGUAACCGGAGAAGAAGCACCGGCUAACUUCGUGCCAGCAGCCGCGGUAAUACGAAGGGGGCUAGCGUUGUUCGGAUUUACUGGGCGUAAAGCGCACGUAGGCGGACUAUUAAGUCAGGGGUGAAAUCCCGGGGCUCAACCCCGGAACUGCCUUUGAUACUGGUAGUCUUGAGUUCGAGAGAGGUGAGUGGAAUUCCGAGUGUAGAGGUGAAAUUCGUAGAUAUUCGGAGGAACACCAGUGGCGAAGGCGGCUCACUGGCUCGAUACUGACGCUGAGGUGCGAAAGCGUGGGGAGCAAACAGGAUUAGAAACCCCUGUAGUCCCAUGAU